UUUUGGCAUGAUUGGCAUGAUUCCCAUUGCGCAGAUGUGGAAACUAAAGCACAGUGAGACCAAGUGACAUGGCAGUACUGGGAAUAGAACCCAGGGACUCCAGUUCCCUUCUCUAACUCAUAGACACACAGUGUUGAAUUUCACUUUUAACCUCACUGCUGGAAAAAGCAGGCCCAGCACAUGGUCUUAUCAGCCACUCCAAGGCCCAGCAAACUCAUACCAGCAUUGGGCUAGUUAGCGCGUUGCUUUUAGCUGCCUCUCUGAUCACAGGCUUAUAGCAGUGUUGCAAAAUGUAUACAAAACUUUAGCUGCCUCAGCCAGACUCUUGUUAGACAGAAGGAAAAAGGAAAGGGCUAGCAAAGAGAAGAACUAAGGUAGGGAAAGAAAAGGACAUCUGGAGGGGAGUGGGAGAAGAGAGUCUUUCAUCCACCCCCUCCCCGCACCAAGUUUCUUUUUGAGGACCUUAAAAGGGGAGUGAUGGGCAGAAUACAUUAUUAGUUCACCUAUUAGACCUAGUUUCUGACACCAGUUCUGAUUCACUGAUUUCUGGUUCCACAUUUUCUUGUUUACCAAGCAUGAUUUUAACAUAGUCUUUAAAUUAUAUCAGUAGGCCGUUUUGUUUGGACAAAUUUAGUCUUUCUGUCUUGGCUUUUGCACUUUUUCCCAUUGGCGUUUGUUUCUCAAUUUUUUCUCACUUCUUACAGUUGAGCUCACAGUUAGGGUAAAUGUAUAGACCCAAGUUUUAUAAUAGGCCGUUGGAGAAUUUACCCUGGUUAAGGUGAUGUGACCAAUGUCUGCGGAUGAUAAUAUUGUGCUCAUUUUGGGUACGUACUUGUUGAAUAUGUUUUUAUGAAGAUUUAUGUUGCCAUGAUGAAAGUAAUAUAAAACAGAAGUGACUUGCCUGUAGCAUGACUAGUCAGAUGUGAAAGUUCUUGAAGAUAUUUUCAACAUGAAAGACCCUAGACUAAAAUAACUCGUGUGCAAAGCCUCACAUAGAUCCGAACUUCUGCUAGCUGAGUGGGGCUCUGUGCUGUAAACAGCACCACUAACCUAGGAGGGGGUUUCCCUGUUAAGGGGAAGUGAACAACUGAAGGGAAGUUGAGCAUCCCACCAAAAGGCAUCAGAAGCAGCUUGUGACUCUCAGUUCCAAGGCUGUGAUUAGAGCCAGGGGCCUGGGGGUCCUGGGUUCUAACACAGGCUGUGCCAGUGACUCACCAUGUGACCUUAGGCAGUCACAUCCCUUGUGCCUCCCUCAGCCCUCAAUAACUAUAAUACUGGGUAACACACACAACUAUGGAAAAGCAGCUGCGGUAUGUGCACUGAUCUUUCUAAGGCAAAUACAUGCAAACAGUGCCUGAAGAAAGAGAACCUUGGUUCUAAGCGACCUGUACUUAGUGCAGGAUAAAAUAAUCAACAUAAAGUCUUCACAAUACAGCUAGAUUUGUAUGUACAAUGUAGGCUGGUGUUACCCAAUAUCUGAAGUUGACACUACCACUGUACCAAGGAGGUGAGAAAUCCCACAAUGGUCAUUGAAUAUUAAAUCGCCUCCCUUCUACUUCAUACGAUACCACAGUUAGAUCCACGUGAGUGACCCCUUACAUCCACAAAGAGCAUCAUUUGGUCUCAGUUACUGGACUGCUGCUGUAAUCAUGUCCUUGUUAGCUGAGAGUCGCAAGCUUUUCUGAUGCCUUCUGACAGAAUGUUUAAGUUCACCUCAAGCUUUCACUUCCCCUCUGCAGGUGACUCUCCUCCUAGUUUGAUGGAGGGGUGGAUAUUUACAGGGGGUGCAUGUGGGAAUCCAGUUCCAUGAUCUGGGCCUUAUUCUUUGUAGUCUUUCGCACAAGCCACAUUAACACACCCCUGCCAUGCUUUCCAACCUGACGUGGCAGUCCAAUAACAUCAGAGGGGGAGAGGAACUGAAUGAGAUGGGCAAGGGAGAAGAGUGAAAACUGAAGAAUGAGAUAGAGAGUAGUGUGGGGGAGAACUCCAGGAGGGCAGAUCCAGAUUGCUGCUGCAUGAGCCUGCAGCUCAUGUAAAGUGGGAAGACCAUGGUCCGGGAUGGAGAGGAAGCUGGUGCUAGAUGAAAGAAGAGAGGAUGGAGAAAGGAAGAGAGAAUAUUCAUGAGUUAGUUUGGAACAAGUCUCUGGAGGAUAUAAAAAUGUAUGGAUUGUGUAACUGGGUCAAGUUUUUGUGCACAGUGCAUAGAAUCCUCUUCCUCUUUCCCCCCCCCCCCCCGCCAUUUCAUUGUCUGCAUCAUUAAAACCUUCCACACCAGGUUGCACUGUUUCAGCCAGCUGACUUUUUUCCACAUACCCAACUGCCUGUUAGUUUUAAAUUUUUUAUUAAAGCUAACGUUAAAAUUAUUUAAUACACAGGUUGAGAAAAGAAUGUCUGUACAUCUGAAUAUAGGGCUUAGACUAUCCACAAACACAAAGUUUGUUUAAAAAAUCAUAAGAUACAUAGUGUACAUAAUCGGCAUUAACCCAAAUUUAGGUGAAUAAAUUUAAGAAUACAGUUUAGAUAUUAGCAUCCAAGUAUUCGGAUACAUCACUCAUGAAAACUUAUACAGAGAGUUGGUUGUGGAAAGCACAUAUCAAUGAGUGAAGAUUGUCCCUCAGUAAUUGAGAAUUUAGGGUAGGUUGUCCAUUUAGAGGUGUCACGCAGCUCUGUUAGCAGCAUGUUGAACACAAUUGCUGCAGGCAAUAUAUAAAAAUUAAUGUCAAUUUCAGGCUGCUAACAUGGUUAACGUGAUGCCUAUGCAGUGUUAAAUGACUGAAACCGUUUCACUUUGCUGGGGAUGCUAGAAGAAGAGGGUUCAUUGUCCUCAACAAACAGGUAUAAUUGCAUCCAGCCUCUUAUGUAAGCUGUUCUGUGUGUUGCGCUUAUCAGCAUCUCUUAGCCAAAAUAUAAAAUAAGCCACAGUGAUCAUUCUCUGCUACAACUAAUGCUGCUGCUGCUGGACUAAAGGAGCUAACCCCCUCAUCCCAUCAAACCUUAAUUGGCCUUCUCCUUGUCAGCCUCAGAGGCUGAGAAUUGGCACCAUCCUGGAGAUGGAACUGCCCUAUGCCAUCACCACUCCAGGUUGAGUAUGGUGGUGGGUGGGCUUGGGAGAACUUGCCCAGUGCUUUCCAGGUUGUACCUAAUCUGUGGACAAAAAGGGAAUUUCAUUCUUGUGGGCUGCCAAACCAGCACAUUUCAGCAUCCUAAAACUCUCACAAAGGCAAACUUGCCAACACAAGUGACCAUAGAUCAUUAUUGGAAUAGUUAAGAGCAAACCAGAGUUAACCCUUGAAGGAAUGGCCACCUCUGGGCUGCAAGGUGAUCUCCGUUUCUACAGCAUUACUCAUUUGUCUAGACACAAUGUUAGGUGU